GACGAACGCUGGCGGCGUGCUUAACACAUGCAAGUCGAACGGAAAGGCCCUGCUUUUGUGGGGUGCUCGAGUGGCGAACGGGUGAGUAACACGUGAGUAACCUGCCCUUGACUUUGGGAUAACUUCAGGAAACUGGGGCUAAUACCGGAUAGGAGCUCCUGCUGCAUGGUGGGGGUUGGAAAGUUUCGGCGGUUGGGGAUGGACUCGCGGCUUAUCAGCUUGUUGGUGGGGUAGUGGCUUACCAAGGCUUUGACGGGUAGCCGGCCUGAGAGGGUGACCGGCCACAUUGGGACUGAGAUACGGCCCAGACUCCUACGGGAGGCAGCAGUGGGGAAUAUUGCACAAUGGGCGGAAGCCUGAUGCAGAAACGCCGCGUGCGGGAUGACGGCCUUCGGGUUGUAAACCGCUUUAGCCUGUGACGAAGCGUGAGUGACGGUAAUGGGUAAAGAAGCACCGGCUAACUACGUG
rnacentral:rRNA from 1 species